GACGAACGCUGGCGGCGUGCCUAAUACAUGCAAGUCGAACGCAGUGGGGACGGGUGAGUAACACGUGGGUAACCUCCCAUCAGAGGGGAUAACACUUGGAAACAGGUGCUAAACCGAUACUGAUGGAUGGACCCGCGGUGCAUUAGCUAGUUGGUGAGGUAACGGCUCACCAAGGCCACGAUGCAUAGACGACCUUGUAGGGGGAUCGGCAAAACUGGGACUUAGAAACGGCCAAGACUCCUACGGGAGGAAGCAGUAGGGAAUCGUCGGAAAUGGACGAAAGUCUGACCGAGCAGCGCCGCGUGAGUGAAGAAGGUUUUCGGAUCGUAAAACUCUGUUGUUAGAGAAGCGGUAUCUAACCAGAAAGCCAGGGCUAACUACGUGCCAGCAGCCGCGGUAAUAC
rnacentral:rRNA from 1 species